GGUAGUGUAGUUAACACCUGCAUUAUUUGACGUUACCUACAGAAGAAGCACCGGCUAACUCCGUCGCCAGCAGCCGCGGUAAUACGGGAGGGUGCGAGCGUUAAUCGGAAUUACUGGGCGUAAAGCGCAUGCAGGCGGCCGUGUUAAGUCAGAUGUGAAAGGACCCGGGGACCGUUAACCUACCGGUAAGUUGCUAUUUAGUAAACGUGGCGAGGCUAGAGUCUUGUAGAGGGGGGUAGGAAUUUCAGGUGUAGCGGUGAAAUGCGUAGAGAUCUGAAGGAAUACCAGUGGCGAAGGCGGCCCCCUGGACAAAGACUGACGCUCAGAUGCGAAAGCGUGGGGAGCAAACAGGAUUAGAUACCCUGGUAG
rnacentral:rRNA from 1 species